rnacentral:rRNA from 1 species
AGAGUUUGAUCCUGGCUCAGGACGAACGCUGGCGGUGUGCUUCACACAUGCAAGUCGAACGAGGUAGCAAUACCUAGUGGCGGACGGGUGAGUAACGCGUGGGAAUCUGCCUUUAGAUGGGGGAUAACUAGCCGAAAGGCUAGCUAAUACCGCAUAAGCCGAGAGGUUAAAGGAGCAAUCCGUCUAGAGAUGAGCCCGCGUCCGAUUAGCUAGUUGGUAAGGUAAAGGCUUACCAAGGCUACGAUCGGUAGCUGGUCUGAGAGGAUGAUCAGCCACAAUGGGACUGAGACACGGCCCAUACUCCUACGGGAGGCAGCAGUGGGGAAUUUUACACAAUGGGGGAAACCCUGAUGUAGCGACACCGCGUGAGUGAAGAAGCCCUUUGGGGUGUAAAGCUCUGUCGGCUGGAACGAAAAAAAUGUCGGUACCAGCAAAGGAAGCAUCGGCUAACUACGUGCCAGCAGCCGCGGUAAGACGUAGGAUGCAAGCGUUGUCCGGAUUUAUUGGGCGUAAAGAGUUCGUAGGCGGUUUGUUAAGUCUGAUGUUAAAUACCGGAGCUCAACUUCGGAACUGCAUUGGAUACUGGCAGACUUGAGUGCAGUAGAGGCAAGUGGAAUUCCCAGUGUAGCGGUGAAAUGCGUAGAUAUUGG